rnacentral:lncRNA from 1 species
AACCUGUGUAGUCAAGUGCGGUCAGUUGUUGUGAGUAGGCUCUCAGAUGGUGGAGAACAAUUCGAUGUACGAAUUGGCGUGCUUUGCAAUUUGGAAUUUUUGUUCGUACGUGUCCUUAGUCGCUUCUUCCAGCCGUUUAGCGGUCGUUUCAAUGACACUGAAGAUCAUAAUAUAGAAAUAAAAUGUUGGAAGCGGUGCCUUUGCCCAGUGAGUGGGCUGCGAACACGUAUAACAAUAAGCCAUACUGUCUGGUAAAGCUUUCAAAAUAUUCCUCACGCGACAUCAACGAAUACAUAAAAGUCGAAAAUUAUUUCGACAAUUAUCUUGUUGUAAAAAUCGAACGCGUACAAAAUCCGUACCAGUACGGAAAAUAUCUACUUUAUAGACUGCAAAUGAAUAAUCCUUCAGAGAAAAUCUACUUUAUGCCACUGAAGAGUCCAGAGGAGCUGGAAGUAGCACUGCGUUUCAAUUGUGAUUAUCGGAGGCUGAAUUAUAGCAAUGACAUGUUUUUUCCUUCUGUAUCCACUGCAGAAUCUUUCUCUGCAUCAUACAACAAAAUUAUAGUUAUGCAAGGCCUCGUGGGUUAUACUAAUUACGAUGCAGGUCGCUACCCAAAAUAUGUUGUAACAUAUGAAAACAACUAAUUCGAACAAGUAUAUCAAACCUCCCAAUAGGUUUGUUUGGUUUUUUCUCAUUUUUAAACAACUUUCUAUAAAGAAGAAAACAACAAAAGAAGUAACAGUAGAGUAGAAGUAGAGAGUAGAAAAAUUUUCAUAUCGUAAGCUAUUGAUUGUACUUAGUAUAUUCAUCUAAAAAGUCAAUAUGUUUCUAACGAAUAUUAUUAGAAAAAUUAUUAACUCUUAUGCAACAUGUUAAAUAUCUAGUUUUAUAAAUUUAUGUUAUUCUACUUUCAAUGUGUAAGAAUACUUAUUUUUUUAAACUCAUCGUAUUAAUUAGACAAUCAAGAAGUUAAUCUACAGAGAAGUUUGUAAAGAUGAAUAAGCUGAAUGAAGUUGCCAGAUUCAAUCUCUUGCAUUUUUCAAUUCAUGUUAUUUGAUUCGGCAUUGAAGACAUCAAAAAUUCGUGUACUACAAGGUUUUCCUACCCUGUUAAAAUUUUUAUUGAUUUUAUUCGUCAUUUUUUCAAUUAUAUGUGACAUUGCAAAUUUUUAUCUAAAUGAUACAAAUUAUAGAAACACAAAUAUUGAAUAACCAGAAGUCCCUCUAAAUAUUAUCUGUGUACUUUAAGUAUGGUAGUAAUGUUUGAGUUUUCAUCUGAACAAAUACGCAAUAAUUGACUACCAUUAUGGAAUAUAAACUAUAAUCCAGCAAUGGGUUACGAAUAUUGUUUUUCAAACUUUUUUUGCCAUGUUAAAUCUUAGUUAUUUUUAUCAGGUUUUAAUUUUAUCUCAGUUUUAAUGUAAACCUAGUUGGUUCUUUUUUUUGUAUCCUACAUUUUCAUUCAGUAUCUCUCGGAUUUCGUUGAUUUCACUCAAAGCUCUGGGAAGAAUCUUGUAUAAUUAUAAGAUCACUGUUCGAGUCUCUUUUAUGUUGCAUGUUAGCCAAAAGCAGUAUUCAGUAAUACAUAUUUCAUAAAAUAUCAUCUUUAAUUGUUUCAUUUCUUCAAGCAUAGCUUUUACAAGUUACAUACAUACAGUAUACAGGCAUCAAUAGUGCAUUUAACGAUAAGAAAAAUAAUGAUACUGAAGUAUUGUUCAGAGUAUAAGUCAACCCCGCAUAUAAGACAACCCCCAGUUCUGAGACAGUAUUUCAGGAUAUUUUUCUUAGUUACCCACAUAUAAGACGGGCUGCAUAUACGACGAGGAUGAUUUUGGUGGGCGCUGUUGAU